rnacentral:RNase_P_RNA from 1 species
GAAGUUCGCCAGGCAAUCGCUGCACCCAUCGAGGAGCAGAGGAAAGUCCGGGCCCCGCAGAGCAGGAUGCCGGCUAACGGCCGGGCGCCGUGAGGCGACGGAAAGUGCCACAGAGAAUAGACCGCCGAUGGCCGUCCGGGCUUGGCCGCCGCUAGGUGGCAAAGUCCCCUCCUGAAGAGGAGGCUUCGCGUUUCGGCGCGGAGGGAGGCUGCCGCGGAAGCGGCAGCGGCUGGUGCAGCGAAAGCCGCGCCAGCCGGAUCAGGUAAGGGUGAAACGGUGCGAAGCCGCGCGUCGGCGUGGUUUCGGAGCGCGCGCAAGCGCGAUCGGGUAAGAGCCCACCGCGGGACUGGUAACAGGACCGGCACGGCAAACCCCAUCCGGGGCAAGGCCAAAUAGGGGAGCCAUGGCGUGGCUCGCGCCGCUCCCGGGUAGGCUGCUGGAGCGUCGUGGUAACACGGCGCCAAGAGGAAUGAUUGCCCAGCGGCACGGUACAACCGCUGCUGUUCGACAGAACCCGGCUUAUCGGCGAACUUCCCUU